UUCUGCUUUCCGCCUGGUCUUAAAGUUCUCUUUUUGAAAUGGAGACAUGCCAAGAGCUUCAAAGAUUCCCGUCCCAACAAAGUGGCCAGCCUUGCCUUCUGGGUCCGAGCUGCUGUUGUUGUUCUUUUUAUUUCUGGGUAGAAACCAACAAAGAGUUACUGUGAGUUUCAUAAAUAACAUUCCAAGGAAAGGGCAGGAGAGAGGGAGGCAGAUUAUCCUGCAGGGAAAUGGGCACAAUGGACAGCAUUCCUAGGAGUUACAAUGGCCAAUUGUCCCCGAUCUGUGGAGAAAUGGUCCCAGUGGACAGCAUUCUUUCUUAAAAGUGCAGCCCAGCAAGGCCACGAGUCUGCCAAAAAUCUGCCCGGACAGCCCACAUUUGUUGUGGUACCAACAAUGGCACAUUGUAUGGAAGAGUGACCCAGGGUCUGGAUGAGGAGAAGGUCACAUACAGGCUCCCAUUCUUAUUGUCAAACAUUUCUCUAGACUCAUGACCCCUUGCCUCCAGUUAGCUUUAGCCACUAUCACAUCUCAGAGUUGAAAAUGUCAGCCCAAGCCCGAAUGGAAAACUCAACACAACGCUAAGCUAAUUCUUACCAUCUCUCAUGUCUUCAAAGUGAGCCCUUGCUUUCCUCUGAUGUGAGGGAGGACAUAAAUAGAGAGGGAUUUCUCCUCUGAGAGUCCCCUAUACCAGUGGCAUCACCAUUCCUGUCCCUCUACCUAAGCUAUUCUCUGAUUUCCCACCUCUCUCACCCCAGCCCCCUCCAUAAUUUUAUUUUUCUGAGUAGUUUCCUCUUUCCCCAAUUACAUGUAAAAACAAUUAUGGCAUUCUUUUGUUUAAAUGUUGAGUCCCAAAUUCUUUCUUUCCUUUCCAUCCCUCUAUCUCCCUGAAAUAGUAAGAGCUCUAACAUAGAUUUUACAUGUGCAAUUUUAUAGAACAUUUUUCCGUAUUAGUCAUCUCCUGGAAGAGAAGUCCAACAGCAACAAAAAUGGGGAAAGAAAGUCAAAUAUAUACUAUGUUGUGGUCUGCAUUUGGAGUCCAGUUAUUUCUCUGGAGGCUCAUCCAAUUUUUCAUCAGAACUCCUCUGGGAUUGUCUUGGAUUACUCUGUUGGUCAUCAUAAAAUAGUGCUGCCUACACUGUGAGCAAUGUUCCCCUGGUUCUGCUCCAUUCACUCUGCAUCAGGUCAUGUAAACUUUUCCAGGAUUUGCUGAAAUUCCUCCUUUUCAUCAUUUCUUAUAGUAUAAUAACAUAAUAGACAAUCAAUACAGCAACUCGGUCUGCCAUUCCUAAACUGAAGGACAUCUCAGUUUCCAAUGCUUUGCCACUGCAAAAAGAAUUGCUAUAAGCAUUUUUGUACAAAUAGGUCCUUUUAGCCGUUUAAAAUCUCUUUAGGACUUGGCAUUGCUGGUGGUAUUGCUGGAUCAAAGGGUACACAAAGUUUUCAAGUCCUUUGGGCAUAGCUUCAGAAUGGUUGGGUCAGUUUACAACUCCGCCAAUAAUGUGUUUUUGUCCCAAUUUUCACACCUUUUCCAACAUUUAUCACAUUCCUUUUCUGUCACAUUAGUCAAUCUGAUAGGUGUGAAAUGGCACUUCAGGGUUGUCUUCAUUUGCAUUUCUCUAAUCAAGAGUGACUUGGACAGUUGUCUUAUACUUACUCUGGAUAACCUUGAUUUCUUUAUCUGAAAACUGCCUGUUUAUAUCCUUUGAUCAUUUAUCAUUUGAAGAAUGAUCUAUUCUCAUAGAUUUGACUUAGUUCUCUGCAUAGCUGAGAAGGAGGCCUUUAUCAGAGAUAUUCACUCCAGCUUUCUGCUCUCCUGCUAAUCUUGGGUGCAUUGGUUUUGUUUUCAAGCCCACAAUUUUCAAAAAAAUCAGAAGUGUGGGUGGCUCCAAGGUCAAAAAAGAGGUGUAAGUUUGACAGAUUGUAGCCUAUAGUCAGAGAUGGCUUGUGCAAAAGAAGUGAUAGCAAAGCUGCCAGUAAGGAUAUGCAAGACUGGAAAAUGUGGGAGGUCUUGAGAACGAUGCAUAACUGACAGUCCAAGGACCAAUGCCAUUGGGAUAGUCAUCAAAACAAGGGAAGGUCCUGUGCAUGGUGAGAGUUCCCUGAAAACCAUUUGCAAGAAUAUGUAAGAAAGUCUGAAAAAGCUGAAAUCUGUUCUAUUGGAAGGCGUGUCUCAUGGAUGAUAUUAGAGAUCUGCUGUCAUGCCAUGAAUUUGAACUUUGUCCCUCUUUUGCAUAGCUCUUCGAAGUCCUGGGCAGUAAGCACUAUUUAUUCCAGAAGUGUCUGGGGUUCCAUUCAUUAUCAAUUUCAUGUUUCCCCUUUAGAGAUAAUAAGAUCAUAGAAUAAAUGUUCUUCAGCAGUAUUUUAGGGAAUUCUUACUGUUGAGCUUAUCACUUCUGACAACUCCACAGAUAAUUACCAGGAUGGCAACUGACCUCUGACUCAGUGUUUAAUCUGAUAACUCCAGUGGAAGACUUUGGGCUUUCUUUCCACUGAAUUUUUUCAGGAGAGCUGAACGAUGGGAGGAUAGAUAGGUCCCUUUCUCUUGGUGUCAAAGGCUCAAUCAUUUUGUUCUUUCCUCUGCUCUGGUACCGAUAUCAAACUGUACUUCAUUGUCAUGAUGUCAGACGAUGGAUAGUUUGCCCAAGACUGAAAACAGUACCUUUACUAUGGACAGAACAAUUCACAAUAGUAAAGGGAGCUUUCUUUUGGGUCUCAUAACUUCUGAACCUUUUCAGGGAUGAGUAGUUCCCUGAACUAUUGGAGUAGAAGCCAUUUGCUUUGUCUCAUUGCUGGGUUGCUCUUUGGCAAAAGAGAUGCAAUGAAAAAGCAUUUUGCCUAGACUGAGCUUAUGUUUGUUUGUUUCAGAAAUUAGAUAAAUAUCACUCUAAAGUUUUCUGUAAACUGGAAGAAUACAAGAGCCACCAUUCUGCUGAAGUCAACCAAGCACUCUGCCAUGUGCAUUGAAGGUGUUAAAAGGGACUGACUAAUUUUGAAAUGCAAAUUUGGAAACAGUGUCAGGGGUUCAGGUUGGUCCUGGAGGAUCCUUUUCUUCUUAGCUCAUCUGGCAAUCUUCCCACAGAUCAACAUCCACAAAGAUGGCUGCCGAAUCUCUUCUAAAUGAGGAAGGAUACUGUAUUAUAUAGGGUUGGGGAAAUAAAGGGGAAGUAUGGAAUAAGGUGACUUGCAGUAAUCUCAUUGGUUGUCUCUGAGGAAAGCGAGCUACUUGGGUUCACUUCAUUGGAUAUUCCUGAGAUGGGGUGGGGAACCCCAGUCUCUGGAUGUGUUGGCUGGUUCUCAGGAAUGGUGCUCACCUAUGCCCAAAGGGCGACAAAAGAAUAUCUACCCUUUGACCCAGCCAUAGCACUGCUGGGUCUGUACCCCAAAGAGAUAAUGGACACAAAGACUUGUACAAAAAUAUUCAUAGCUGCGCUCUUUGUGGUGGCCCAAAACUGGAAAACGAGGGGAUGCCCAUCAAUUGGGGAAUGGCUGAACAAACUGUGGUAUAUGUUGGUGAUGGAGUACUAUUGUGCUAAAAGGAAUAAUAAAGUGGAGGAAUUCCAUAAAGACUGGAACAACCUCCAGGAAGUGAUGCAGAGCGAGAGGAGCAGAACCAGGAGAACAUUGUACACAGAGACUAAUACACUGUGGUAUAAUCGAACGUAAUGGACGUCUCCAUUAGUGGCGGUGUAAUGUCCCUGAACAACUUGCAGGGAUCCAGGAGAAAAAAACACCAUUCAUAAGCAAAGGAUAAACUAUGGGAGUGGAAACACCGAGGAAAAGCAACUGCCUGAACACAGCGGUUGAUGGGACAUGACAGAGGACAGACUCUAAAUGAACACUCUAGUGCAAAUACUAUCAACAAAGCAAUGGGUUCAAAUCAAGAAAACAUCUAAUGCCCAGUGGACUUACGCGUCGGCUAUGGGGGGUGGGGGGGAGGAAAAGAAAAUGAUCUUUAACGAAUAAUGCUUGGAAAUGAUCAAAUAAAAUAUAUUUAAAAAAAAAAGAAAAAAAAAGGAAUGGUGCUCACCCAUGAAGGACAGGCUGAGGAACAAAGUCCUGGUGUUCCACCAGGUGUUGUUGGGGCAGGCAUUGAGGGAAGUGCUUUAUGUUCCCACAGCCCCGUCAUUCGAAUUCUUUUCUCUGUUUAAAAAAAGGAAAAAAGGGGGGUGGUAUAUGGUAGAGGGGUUUGGAAGGGGGGGCCAUAAGUCCAAGGGGCAAUGGGCAAUGUUCUUUGCUCAUCAAACUGCUUCCUGCUGAGAGGGGAAGUCAUGGAUUAUUAUUGAGUCUUUCCUGCUUCCAUCUCCAUCCCUGAGCAGAUAUUGAUAUUGAUAUCAAUAAAAUCGCAUUACAGAUUAGUGUAACUUUCUUGUUACAGCAUUCUUGUAGAUAAAUUUCUCCACCCCAUGCUCAGUGAUACACAGACUUGGGGUGGAGUACAGAUACCUAGGUAAGUAGUGGAGCAUAGUUGAUUGCUAUGCACGUUCAAAUUUAAUAAUUGGCUUUUGAAAACUGGUUCAAGAUGGCAGCAGAACAUUCUCGCCCCUUACUAGCAGUGAUUAGGCGUGGGCAUUUCAGGUAAUUGGGAGAACGAUGGCAGAAGGCACGUGUUUAGUUAUAUGACUACAAGUCCAGUUACAUACUAAGUGAAACAAGUCUGAGAAGAAGAGUGAGAUUGAGGAUAGAUCUCAUAGCCAAUGAGAUCUUAUCAGGAAGGAAUAACAGAGCCUCAGCUAACAAGGGAGUUUGCUAUGGAUAAAGGUGAACUCCUGAAUUCAAGUUCAAAAAUAUAUUUGUGCAAGUCUAGGAUGAGAGAAUAUGUCGUGAGAAAUUCCUGAAGACCUGGAAGAGCAUCCUAGAGGGGAAGGGGUUGGGGAUGCUUGGUAUGCCCACAGUGGGACUAAAAACUGGGGAUGUCCACAGUGAGCCUUAUCAACCCCAAAUUCUAAUGGGGAACUUAGCUUUAGUUAACAGAUUUCUAACACACAUAAUGAGGAAGGUGAUCGCCUCACUGUCCUGUUCCCUGGCCAGACCACAUCUGCAGCUGUGUAAUUAGGUCCAUGGGCUAGACUUUGAAGGGACAGUCAUGAUCCUGAAUAUGUGUAGAGCAGGUUGACCAGGAUUGCUUGCAUAUUGGUUGGAAUAACUGAGAAUAUUUAGCCUGGAGAAGAGAAGACUUGAAGCAGAAGGCGGUGACACACAAUAUCAUCCUUAAAUAGCUAAAGGGUUGUCCAACGAAAGGGUUCUAUUCACUUUCCCUGACUGCCAAAUUUGGAUACCAACAGGAGAACAUUACAGAAAGGCAAGUUUAGAGUCAAAAGAAAUAUAUUUUUUUCCCAAGCUGACUUGGGUAUUUUAUUUUGUUUUUUUCCCUUUUAAACAUUAUUUUAUUUGGUCAUUUCCAAACAUUAUUCACUGGAAACAAAGAUCAUUUUCUUUUCCUCCCCCUCCCUCCCACCACCCCUCCCAUAGCCGACGCAUGAUUCCACUGGGUAUCACAUGUGUUCUUGACUCAAACCCAUUUCCCUGUUGUUGGUAUUUGCAUUAGAGUGUUCGUUUAGAGUCUCUCCUCUGUCAUGUCCCCUCAACCCCUGUAGUCAAGCAGGUGCUUUUCCUCGGUGUUUUUACUCCCAUAAUUUGGCCUCUGCUUGUGGAUAGUGUUUUGUAGAUCCCUGCAGAUUGUUCAGGAUCACUGCAUUGACCCUAAUGGAGAAGUCCAUUACGUUCGAUUGUGCCACAGCGUAUCAGUCUCUGUGUACAAUGUUCUCCUGGUUCUGCUCCUCUCGCUCUGCAUCACUUCCUGGAGGUUGUUCCAGUCUCCAUGGAAUUCCUCCACCUUAUUAUUCCUUUUAGCACAAUAGAAUUCCAUCACCAACAUAUAUCUUCCCACGUGUCAUUAUCAACAAAUGGAAUGGGCUAUAGCAGGAGGUGGAAGCCUUCAAUCUGAGACUGCACACCAACCUGGUGGAACUAUUGGGAGGUAUGGCUUAGCCUUAAUCAUCAUGGGAGCUGCUGCAGACAUAUUUAUGAUUCUAGUCCAUUGAAAGAUCCCUUAAGAACAAUGCUUAGUGUCUUCAUGGAUUUUUUUUAAUUUAAAAGGUUAUUCUAAAAUCUGAUCAACUUCAUAAAGAGAAGAGGUCAGGCUUAGAGUCAAGAGACCUGAGUUUGAAUCCCAGAUCAGCCACUAAUUGUUUGAUGCAGGGACAAGUUAGACUCCAAACCUCAGUUUCCUCAUCUGUAAAAAGAGACUCAUAAGACAUAUACUGGAUGUCCUGAAUGGGUUAUUUAUAUGCCAAGCGUUUAGUAGAUUUUAAAGCAUUUUAGAUGAGUGGGUUGGUGAUUAUUAUUCUGAGACUCAUUUAAUAUAGUUUUCAGAAUGACAGCCCAAAGAUCAUUCCUACUUCCUUCGUAGUCUUCCUAACAGGGCACAGAUUUUGGUAGUAUAGUACUAGAAUCACUCCUCUAGGAAAAACGCCGGAACCCCUAAUAUAAACAGAGAAAGCUCUCCAGUUUCUCAAUAACCUCUUUCUUUGUAUUAACAUUUCUAAAGGAAACAUUCCACUCUGUCCUCAUCAAUCCCCUGUUUCCAUUUUGACUAAUAGUCCUCAAGCCACAUUAGCCCUAUAGAUCAUGGAUCCGCUCACCCACUUUUGUCUGUACUUAUCAGCAGUAACCAAAUACAAUUCUGAAAAAUGAGAUUAUGAAUAUUAAAAAGGUUGUAUCAGUCCCCCCCCCACUUAGUCACCUGGGAUUAAUGAAUCCACUAGUGAGCAGAAAUGAAUCACUCACCUUAUUCCAAAUGCAUACAUCUUUGAGGCAGCCUGGCAUAGUGGAAAGCUCACAUGGGUUUGAAGGCAGAGAACUUGGGUUUGAUUUCGCCAUUUUUACCAACUAUGUAACUGCAGGCAAAUCAUUUCCUUUUUGUGGGCCUCUCACUUUCCCAUCUAUGAAAUUAAGAAAUUGGAAGAGCUGAUAUUUGAGGGCUUUUCUAGCUGUAAACCUGGGGUUCUGUGAGAACUUUUCUCCCCGCCCCGGGGAAGUAUACCGUAUCUUUAAAAUCCUUUAACCAUGGGUUAAAAACAUUCAUGAAUAUACCCUAUUAUUUUUUCAACUAAAAGGUGUUUUUUUAACACUAAGAGCAGUUACUUCUAGUGGCUUCAGAAGUCUAGACCACAGAUGAUUGGAAUAAAAUGCAUAGAUAAUUUGAUGUUCCAAAUUAAAAGUGACUCUAUAAAGGUUUGUGUUUUCAAAAUCUCCUUUAAAGUUGAUCUUUAUCCCCCUCUGCAUCUUCACCAUCUUCUAGGAUAGGUACUUUAAGGUAGACCCUCUUCAAAAACCCUCUUUAGCUAAAGGUGAAUGUCCUGUUUCUGGGAACUCAUUUAUAUUCAAGUCAAGGAUGAAUCACAGAAGGCAGGUGUGGGUUCAUUAGAUUGGUCAGCAGUUGGUGAACCAUUAAAAUGGAACUAAGGAAUGCUAUUGCACUCUAAGAAAUGAUGAGCAGGAUGGUUUCAGAAAAACUGGGGAAGACUUAUGUGAACUGAUGCAGAGUGAAGUAAGUAGAACCAGGUGACCAUUGCAGAAAGUAAUAGAAAUAUUGCAUGAUGAUCAACUGUAAAAGACCAAGCGAUUCUCAGCAUUACAGUGAUCCAAGGCAAUCCCAAAGCACUUAUUAUGAAAAAUGCCAUCCACCUCCAGUGAAAGAACUGAUGGAGUCUGAAAGCAGACCAAAACAUACUAUAUUUCAUUUUCUUCAUUUUUGUUGUUGUUCAAAUUCUCUUCUGCAAAAUGACUAAUAUGGAAAAAUGUUUUACAUGAUUACACAUGUAAAAGCCAUAUCAGAUUGCUUACCACCAGGGAGUGGGGAGGGACAGGAGGGAGAAAAUUUGGAAUUCAAACUACUAAAAAUGAAUGUUAAAAUUUAUUUUUACAUGAUAAUGAGGGAAAUAUUAUUUUUUAAGUAGAGUCAGUAGAAGGACCCCAAACUUGCUUUGUUUUCCUUACCCACUGGGGUCUACAUUUAAAUGCAAGUCACAGUAUUCAGAACUUACUUAUCAUGAAUUUCCAUUUCAUGGUGAUGGAUAUUCUAGUUGAUAUGUGAUUUCCUGAGGCUGUAAUGUCUCUGUACUUCAUCUUUACCUUCUGAUUAUGCCCUUUAAUAAAUUCUCCCUAAAGCAUCUAUCCAUCGUGCUAGGAACUUUCCUCUAAGAUCCUUCACUAUUUUCUCUGUGCCAGCAAACUCUUCAGACUGGCCACCUGCUAAGAUUUAAUCUUAGUUAUGCUAUAAGCAUAGCCUGAUUCUUCUUCUAAUCACUGAUGUCCUCACUAACAUCUCUUAUAUAAUUUAUUGGACUUAAGUCAGCAAGAGGAGAUGUCUAUACUUACCAUGGAUCUUCUCCUUCCCCUUGGAUCAUUCCCCAUUUUUAGUGGAGAUUAUGGUGUGACCAAGUAUUGAUGAAGUAGACUUGGUGGCAUUUCUUUCUGCUCUGAGGAUCUUAAAAAGCCUUUGGCAAUUUGCAGGGAUCUAGGAGAAAAAAACACUAUCCAUAAGCAAAGGAUAAACUAUGGGAGUGGAAACACCGAGGAAAAGCAACUGCCUGAAUACAGCGGUUGAGGGGACAUGACAGAGAAGAGACUCUAAAUGAACACUCUAAUGCAAAUAUUAUCAACAUGGCAAUGGGUUCAAAUCAAGAAAACAUGUAAUGCCCAGUGGAUUUGCGUGUCGGCUAUGGGGGGUGGAGGGGUGGGGGGAAGAAAAGAAAAUGAUCUAUGUCUUUAAUGAAUAAUGCUUGGAAAUGAUCAAAUAAAAUAUAAUUAAAAAAAAAGCCUUUGGAUAUUUGUACCAUUUGGGGGUAUUUUCAUUAAAUGAGUGGGCCAGACCCAAGUGUUCAAUGACUGGACAAACUUUUUAAUAUGUAUAUUCAGUUUUGGAAUCAUAUUGGCUAGAUGAGGUUGAGGCAGCUCCUUCUGCCAGUGUAUUAGCUUGUUUGGGACAGAACAUGAAGCCUCUACCUUGAGUUCUGUGUUUGUUCUCUUUCUUUGUUGGUCCAGGAAAGCGUAUUUUCCCAGUAGAAGAAGCAAAAAGAAUUAUUUGUGUUUGAUCUUACUCAAAAUGUGUUGAGCAAACGCUAGAUACUCCCUGUGUUCCCAAGGAAUCUGGAUCAAUGCACUCAUGCCCUUCAGCAGAGAGUAAGUGAGGGUUGUCUCUUACUUCUGCACUGAAGCUUGUCUAGAUAGAUAGAUCUGAGAGUCUGGGUUGGAGAGAGUUUGGUCAUCAUCUUUUAUUUUUUCUUUUAAAAAGUUCUAGGACAGAGUGAGAUUGGCCUUGGCUCUUUCAGCACCUGAUAUUCUUGCAUUUGGCUAGAUUCUUUUAAUUAAAUUAGUAACUCAAAAAAAUUGCUGUGUGAUAUGAUGAAAAAAUGCUAGACUUAGAAUCAGGCAAGCACAGGGUUCAAAUUCUAAUUUUGACACUUCUUGUAUAUUACAUAGCCCAAAUCAUUUAUUCAUCUCAAGAAGCUGCAAUUCCUUCCUCUGUAGAAAGUGAUUUGCUUUGAGGGUCAAAUAGGAAAAUGGAUGUGAAAUCUAUUGUUAGUAUUUAUUUAUUUUUCUUCUUUUAAUUCUUGUGUUGGUAAAUUUUCUUCCUUUAUAAGUCACCAAUAUGUUUUGGGACACGAACAUUCACAAAACAUCUCUCACAGACGUGUCUUGAAAUUAUCAGGUUAAAUAUAAAGUUGGUAGGGAUACUGGAUGAAAGUGUUUCUCUCGGGUGAACCUUGUAAGCCUUCUAGCCUUGAGAAGAUGAUGGACACUUGUGAAUAUCCACAACACAGAGCUCUGGACAGAUCAUGGAAACGUCUGAGUGUUCAGUGGCUGUAUUGUGGCAUGGUCCUCUUACCUUAGAUACCAGCUCAGCUUUCUCAUGCAGUGGAUACUUUGGAGUUUGAGAUAGUGAAAAGGGAAACCAGUUGAUUGUCAUAGAAUCUUUCUAACUAGUCACUUUUUGUCCGAGAUGUAUUCUUCUAUAAUUAUAUUCUAUAAUUAUCUCUCUUCCACCCUCCUCUUUUUCCUGCCUUUUCUUUCACCCCUCACCAUAAAAGAAAUAUUUACAAUAUAAUUAUGGCAAGGUUUUAAAAAGGUGACCAUCAUUCUCUUUCAGUCCUUAUUCUCAAAUCAUCUUUUUUAGCCUGGUUUUAGUUGUUAAUUUCUAUUUCAUUAUUUCUAAAUUUGUUUCCUGCAUCUCUUAACUAAUAACCUCUAAGUGUAUCUCUCAUCUUUUUCAAGUGUAUUUUCCCUUACAACAAAAACAAAAAUUAAGUAAAAUCAAAAUAUAUGACAUUCCACUCCCAUAGUCUUUCACCUCUCCAAAAUAAUGAGAGAGGCCCCAAGCAGGCAAGAAACAAAUAUUUAUUAAUCACUGUCCUACAUGCCAGAAAUUGAAAUAAAACCAAAAUAAGGGUAGUCUCUACACUCAAGUUGCUUAUGUUGAAGAUAACAUAUGAAGGACCAUGUGGAGCAAUGGUGAACAAAGCCCAGAGAGACAGAAGCGACCCAGAUAAGAGUGGAAUGAAGUCUGCCCAGCCUGGGCCCAUCCCCCAAAGGGAAGCCAUAAAAGGAAGUCACUAGUGGAAGAAGGGAGCCAACAGGAAGAGGAAAACUCCAAGGAGAGUAGUUCCUCAUUCCAGUUCUAUUUUAGCUGCCUUUCCUCAUGUCCAUUUUCCUUUUGAAGUCACAGAGAAUCAAAGUAUAUGCUGAUUUAUACAGUGAGAGGAUCUUUUUCAAUUUUGCUUCUCCACAAUACUUCAGAUUAUUGUAAAUGAAGGCAUUCCAUAGAAUGCAUGACUUGACUAAGGCCAAGAAAUGUCAAACCUAAGAAAUCCUAAUGUUUUCCAGUCUAUUUAGGGAACCUGGGAAAUGGAUAGGUAGAGCAUUUAUUAAAUACUCUCUACAUCCCAGGUACUAUGCUGAGCCCUGGGGAUACAAGUACAAGCAAAAAAGAUAGACUUUGCCCUUAAGAAGCUUGCAUUCUAGUAGCAGAAGGCACACAUAACAAAGAAAUAGAAAGCAAGAUGGCAGAGGAAAGGUUCCUACUUUUCAGAUGGUGGUGGGAAUUGCUUGGACUCACUGCUAUUCUGUAUAUGAUUCUAUCUAAUGUGACUGGUCAAUGACAGAUGGCAAGAAAUUUUUGAGAUAGUGACUCCAUAAUCUUGGAGAUUUUGACAGGCAAGGAGGAGAGUACUGUAAAAGGGAAUUCUUUGUUCUCUCUGAGUUUACAUUUGUGAAAGGGUAUCCUUUAUUUCCUUUGUCUAUUUGGAGUUAACACUAACCUAAGUACCCCUACUUAGAUUGUAAAGACAAGAUUAACUCCCCUUUGUCUACUUUUGUAUUGAAUCAACAAAAGGUUGAACAUCCUAUUUAGUAUUGGGUGAGAAGCUAGUUAGGUACUUAGAGAACUCACAAGUCACUUACUUAGAGAGCUCCACUCUUUUAACUUGUGAAUUCCAUGAUCAGAAUUUACACCCUCAGAAACGAAAUCAGCCAGGAAUCUGAGUCCUUUUGAUGAGUAUUUACCCCUCCAGAAGGUGAGAACUGGUUCCCACAAACACUGCCCAGCAGUGCUAGACAAUUUGGAAACUGUGAUUGGCCCCUGUGAAGAGGGGCAGGGACAAGAAAUCACCAUAAAAAUCCAGGAUUCCUUCAGUUUGAGGGAGUCUUGUGGAGAUAGUCUCCUGACUGGAAAGAGUCUUUGAGGGACCUUAGCUGGAGACUGAGGCUUGGAUUGUGGGCUUGAAGCUUGGCUUUACCUUGGACUCUGAUUCCUGGACUACUUUGUGGGGUUAGUGAAAGGCUGGCUCCUUUCUUAAUUUCUGGAAAGACUGGCUUCCAUCUUGGAGGAGGCUGCGUGAUUACUCACUACAGGUCUUCCUGGUUGAGAGCUAAUUAAUCUCUGCCUGGAUUAAGAUAGGAAAGAUAACUUUUCUAUACCCUUCACAUUUCUCAACUUCAUUGUUUACUCUCCAUUUUGUAAAUACUUAUAAAUAAAUUUAUGACUCGAGACAUAAUCAAUAUUGGCAACCACAUAAUUUCAUAAAAUUGUUGUCCGACCAUUAAAUUUAACCCUUACAACACCAAUUAUAGUCUGAUGUUUAAAAGGGACUUUUUUCAAAGACUUCUGAAUGAAGAAAAAUAGGAAAAAAUUCUACAACCUGAGAUUCUAAGGAAUUGUGAUCUAGUCUCUAUAGAUUCUGAUAAGAAAUAAAGAGGGGGAGGUGUCUAAAGAAAUUCCUGUGGUUGAACAGGGGGCUGUAUGAACUCUGAUUUUAAAAGGACAAGAAUGAUGGAUGAAAGAAAGGAUGGUAAGGCAGCAAGUAUUAGCAACCACUAUGAUGGCAGCAACUGAUGCAAAGAUGGCAACAUCAGUAUUGAUGAAGACAGCUAUGAUAACAGCACCAACAGUGGCAACAACUGAAAUGACCUUAACAGCUCCAGAGGCAGUGGUGGUCACAUCAACAAUUAUUACAAUAGCAACACCAGCACUACUACAGCAAUGCUGAAAAAUCAGUGAUGGCAACAGGCACCAGCACCACUCACGGUAUUACUCCUUCCAUUAGUGAUGGUGACACUUAUGGUGAUUCUGCUUAUAAUAGCAAAAAAGACCUCAAGAGCAAUGUUGCAGGAAAUGACAUUAGGACCAAUGGUGAUACGCAUGGUAAGCCUGAAAGUCCUAGUAAUGAUGCCAACAGACAUGGCAAUGGAGCCAGAAAGAGUGAUGAUGGCAGAAAUAUAAACACUGGUGGUGAUGACACCAGGGACAAUGCUGUCUGCAAAAGCAACACAUAUAGCAAUAGCACUUCUUCCAGAAGCCACAGGAACAACAAUAGCAAUGAUACUAUAAAUCAGAAUGCCACUAUGAGAAGCCAUUUUGGCCACAACUGCAAUAUAGCAACAGUGAUGACCACAAUACCAGUGAAGCCAGUAGUAGCAAUGACAGAGUAAAUGGCAAUUCUGUCAUCAACAACAAGGACAGCAACAAUGUCAAUGAUGUACAUGUUGAUAAUAAAAUCCAGCAGAAAGGGUGACAUUAAUAAAAGAAAUGGGGCUAGUAAUAACA